rnacentral:rRNA from 1 species
CAGCACCUCAAGUGGUCAGGACGAUUAUUGGGCCUAAAGCAUCCGUAGCCGGCGCUGUAAGUUUUCGGUUAAAUCUGUACGCUCAACGUACAGGCUGCCGGGAAUACUGCAGCGCUAGGGAGUGGGAGAGGUAGACGGUACUCGGUAGGAAGGGGUAAAAUCCUUUGAUCUAUUGAUGACCACCUGUGGCGAAGGCGGUCUACCAGAACACGUCCGACGGUGGGGGAUGAAAGCUGGGGGAGCAAACCGGAUUAGAUACCCGAGUAGUCC